UUUUAAUUUAUUUUUGAUAAAUUACCUAGUAAUAAUACAUAAGUAAAUAAAAUCUAAAAUGCAUCAGUACACACUAAAACUCAAAUCUAGAUCUUCACCCACUUUAAUAGUAUCGAAGACCAAUUGAGCUAAUAGCGUUGUGUUGUUUUUGUUUCAAGAAUUCACAUAAGAUAUCAUGAUUAAACUACUUAAUUACGCUAUCCUUGGACCUUGAUUGAUUUAAGUAGUUGAGGACUUGAGGAUGUUGAGCUGGAGUUUUUUUUUUCCUUCUUCCUUAAUUAUUUUCGACCUCCACUUUACUUUUCCCUUUUUCUUUUGGAUUUCCUUUCCAGUUUCCAUCUCUUCGAUCUCGGCCUCCUCCUGCAGUCCUGGCGUCCUGCACCUACUUCCAUUAUUGGCAUCCUUCUCUGAAUCUGACAGAUGUGGAAGAAAGAGUAAAUUAAAACCUAUGACAGGGAAACCGGUUUAUUUAUAGCUUCUUCAUCUUCUAUUGUUAGGGUUUUCCAUUGAAAACACCAACAAUGGUGCUUCUUUGAUGUUGUCAAGUGAUGUUCUCAAACACUCAUAUUCUCCCCUUCUCUCGAUCUGGAUCAGGUAAAGUUUGUUUGGUAGAUUCUUUCCAGUUUUGGUAGCUUGUGUUCGAUCUUGUUCGUCUCUCUCAGGAUAAUAAAAAGAGGGGAUCGUGAAAAUGUCUUCCGCCCAAAAUCUGAAUACCACAAUGUCACAAGAGACUGCUCUUGGGCUGAAGCUGUGGGCUGUAAUUGGCAUCUGUGUUGCCAUAUUUACAGUGUUGAUUCUGGCUAUUAUGGCCAUGUGGGUUGCGCUGAGGAGAAAAUCAAGAAGAACCACGGCGGUUACCGUAGCUACGAAUAACAAAAAUAAAAACCAUCUACACUCCCAGAUUCCCAUCAUCUCCAAGGAAAUCACUGUGGAUAGGGGAAAUGCCCGCACUCUUGCCCAGAGUUUCCGUGAUCAGCACCAACUGCUCAGAACUAACUCGAAUAAAGAUGUGGAUAAUGUCAGCCAGUGCAGUAGCUCCGUUUACCAUAACGACAAGUUUGGGAGCUCGGUAUCCGGGGAUGAAGGUGGUAGUAGCUGUUACUCCGGUCAUGUUUCAACAGCAAAAGUAAAACAGGAUUUCGCACAACAACAAUCACAUGAAAUGGUUGUAUCAGCUUCCCCUCUAGUUGGAUUUCCAGGUUUUUCACAGCUUGGAUGGGGGCACUGGUUCACCCUUAGGGAUCUCGAGUACGCGACCAAUCGAUUUUCGAAGGAAAAUGUGAUUGGUGAAGGUGGGUAUGGAGUUGUAUACAGAGGUGAUUUGAUGAAUGGAACUCAAGUUGCAGUCAAGAAGAUCCUAAAUAAUAUGUACGUUUCCUGUUUUUGCUACUUUGCGUUAUUUAAAACUCUUUCUCAGUUCUUGCUGACCACUAUGACUUGCAGGGGGCAAGCGGAAAGGGAAUUCAGAGUAGAGGUCGAAGCGAUCGGCCAUGUACGCCAUAAGAACCUCGUGCGGCUUCUUGGCUAUUGCAUUGAAGGAAUUCACAGGUAUUGCAGUUGAUAAAUGGUUUGGGUUUUGUUGGGUGUUUCCAAAAACUCACUGCAAUUAUUUCAGAAUGCUUGUGUAUGAAUAUGUGAAUAAUGGAAACCUAGAGCAAUGGCUCCACGGAGCCAUGCACCACCAUGGCCAACUUAGCUGGGAAGCUCGGAUGAAAGUCGCAAUGGGCACUGCAAAGGCGUAAGCUCUUACUCUGCAUAUGUGAUGACAAAAUUGCAUUUGAUCACAAUUUUGUGGAUGAACACACAGGUUAGCUUAUUUGCACGAAGCGAUCGAACCAAAGGUGGUGCAUCGCGAUAUAAAAUCGAGCAACAUCCUGAUCGAUGAUGAAUACAAUGCAAAGGUCUCUGAUUUCGGAUUGGCGAAGCUGCUGGGAUCCGGUAAAACCCACAUCGCUACCAGAGUUAUGGGGACAUUUGGGUAUGUACUGCAAUGUGUGUACAUAAAUUGGAAUCCAAAAAAAACUUACAUUGAACUGAAUUAUUGUUUCAGAUAUGUAGCACCUGAAUAUGCGAAUAGUGGAUUGCUGAAUGAGAAAAGCGAUGUGUACAGCUUUGGAGUCCUAUUACUGGAAGCCGUGACCGGCCGGGAUCCAGUAGAUUACAGCCGACCAUCUAAUGAGGUUAAUCUGGUUGAGUGGCUGAAAUUCAUGGUAGGAAGUAAAAGGGCAGAGGAGGUUGUGGAUUCUAAUCUCGAGACAAAACCAAGCAUCAGAGCUCUCAAACGGGCAAUUCUAAUCGCUUUAAAGUGUGUCGAUAUGGAUUCUGAAAAGAGACCCAAAAUGUGUCAUGUUGUUAGAAUGCUCGAAGCGAAAGAUUCACACCAAGCCGCAACUUCUUCAUCUGAAUCUCACCAGAACAAAAGUAGGAGCUUGGAGAUUGAAUCUCAUCCAGAAAGAUAGCUCGAUCUAGUUUGUAUGAUGACAUAAGUCCAAUCAAAUAUUUACCUGUUAAGAUCAUAUUGUCCAAGCUUCGAUUUGUAAACCUUUCCUUCUAUCAUUGCCAUUUGUUUUUUUUACCUAUAGCAAUAAUAUGUGAUUACCCAAGUAACACGUGGCAAUAUCAGAAACCAAUGAAAGAACUAACUAGUCGAUACUUCAUAGUGUAAUACCUACUUAUCUCUUUCGAACUUUUCAUAUAACCAUGACCGUAAAGAUUCCCACCACCACCAUCGGAGCUACA
rnacentral:lncRNA from 1 species